AAUAGAUACCCGGGUAGUCCACGCCGUAAACGAUGUCGACUUGGAGGUUGUUCCCUUGAGGAGUGGCUUCCGGAGCUAACGCGUUAAGUCGACCGCCUGGGGAGUACGGCCGCAAGGUUAAAACUCAAAUGAAUUGACGGGGGCCCGCACAAGCGGUGGAGCAUGUGGUUUAAUUCGAUGCAACGCGAAGAACCUUACCUACUCUUGACAUCCACGGAACUUUUCAGAGAUGAAUUGGUGCCUUCGGGAACCGUGAGACAGGUGCUGCAUGGCUGUCGUCAGCUCGUGUUGUGAAAUGUUGGGUUAAGUCCCGCAACGAGCGCAACCCUUAUCCUUUGUUGCCAGCGGUUCGGCCGGGAACUCAAAGGAGACUGCCAGUGAUAAACUGGAGGAAGGUGGGGAUGACGUCAAGUCAUCAUGGCCCUUACGAGUAGGGCUACACACGUGCUACAAUGGCGCAUACAAAGAGAAGCGACCUCGCGAGAGCAAGCGGACCUCAUAAAGUGCGUCGUAGUCCGGAUUGGAGUCUGCAACUCGACUCC
rnacentral:rRNA from 1 species